GCCCCUGUGGCGUAGCGGUAACGCUACAGCUUAACACGCAGGAGGCCCGGGUUUGAUUCCCGGCAGGGGACU